GCCCCCGAUGCCGCAGGAGCCCUUCAUGGAGCUGGAGGAGGUGAACUGGCGGCUGCAGGUGCUCAUGGUGCCGAGGAGGGAGACAGGCCCCAACAGCCCCUGCUGGAGGCUCCACUGCUCUUCCUGGGAUCAACUGUUCCUAGAAGAGAAGCAGGACCUCUCUCACCCCACCCCCAACCUUGACUGUCACCAAAGAAGAAGCCAGAGAGGGGAGCCCCCCACUACUGUGGCCUAGGAGCUUGGAAGACAAUACUGAGACAGACACCUGUGCUGUGGGCUCCCCAAAUCUGCCAGCAAAGGACUCUCGAGGAUGCUGUGAGGCUCCAGGAGGUUUCUGGAAAGCACCUGCAACUCCCCUCCCAUCAGUUCAAGAACAGAGAUCAC
rnacentral:lncRNA from 1 species